rnacentral:rRNA from 1 species
UGGGGAAUAUUGCACAAUGGGCGAAAGCCUGAUGCAGCGACGCCGCGUGAGGGAUGACGGCCUUCGGGUUGUAAACCUCUUUCAGCAGGGACGAAGCGCAAGUGACGGUACCUGCAGAAGAAGCACCGGCUAACUACGUGCCAGCAGCCGCGGUAAUACGUAGGGUGCAAGCGUUGUCCGGAAUUACUGGGCGUAAAGAGUUCGUAGGCGGUUUGUCGCGUCGUUUGUGAAAACCAGCAGCUCAACUGCUGGCUUGCAGGCGAUACGGGCAGACUUGAGUACUGCAGGGGAGACUGGAAUUCCUGGUGUAGCGGUGAAAUGCGCAGAUAUCAGGAGGAACACCGGUGGCGAAGGCGGGUCUCUGGGCAGUAACUGACGCUGAGGAACGAAAGCGUGGGUAGCGAAAAGG